CUCCAAUUCUCUCAUUUUCGUCGUCUCCACAAAAAACCUUACAUUGUCGUUCCUUCUCCUCUUUGUCCUCAGUCGUCGUUCCUUCUCCUCCGACAUCCUCAACUCCUCCAAAAUUCCUCAGACAUCAUCUCUUAUUGAUUGCAAAAUAGUCAUCGAUUUUACCCUUGAUGAUAAUCAUGAUCGUUUUGUCCCUUAAAAUCGUUGAGCAAUGGAUAUGAGGUGACAGGCAUUGGAUUCUUUUGUUAAUAGGAUUGCAUUCCAUCGAUUUUGGGUCUAUCUGCUCCAAAGAAUUUCACGGUUUGUAUGUAUGUUGUUACUAGGUUUCAUUUUUUCUUCAUGUGUGUUGCUUUCAAUUUCAUUGUUGAAUUGUAGGGAAAAAGAAGUAGAAACUUUUGGAAAUAAUAGUUGGACUCGAACAAGCUGAAGCUCUGAUAUGAAAAAUGGAUCUUGAGGCAAGAAGCUUGCAACCAAAUCUGAAAGUCGUGCUCCUUGCCAAACUAAGGGAAUGCCAAUCUGAUCUGAAUAAUUUGAAGAGUGAAGUUAAAUGAUUUGCAUCAGACAACUUAAACCAGACUGCAAGAGAUGAUUUGUUGGAAUCAGGAAUGACAGAUGCAUCAUCAAUCUGCAAGUUUUAUUAUUAUUUAGUUGAAAUGAAAAUUUAGCUUUGAAAAUUACAUUUGUCUUAAAAUGGAACAUGAAUCUUUAAUGUAAUUGAAAUGUAGGAGUUAUUAAAUGUUAAAAAGGGGGUAAAUGCAUGAAGUAGAAAUCUACUUUUUAAUGUUUAGUAAUCAUUUAUAAGCAUGGGUAAUAGGGUAUUGUAGUUAUUUAUUUGAUCCCAAUGAUGAUUUUACUUAAAAAUUAUGGCAGCAGAGAACUAUUAGAGGAUAAAGGAGUUGUUAUGGUGUUGGAUUUCCUUUGACUGGUAUCCAUUUCAAUUUGGGAAGAGUUCUUGUGGGGAUAUGUUGAUGUUGUUUUUGAUCUGGACAUGUAUUAACCAUUUAGGUAUAUGUUGAUGUUGUUCUUGAUCUUGGUCUUGUUCUUGAUCUUGGCCUGACAACACAUUUCAUCACACCUACACCAGGAUAGACUUCCAUGGGUAUAAACAUGGCAGAUCCGACAUUGAGAAUACAAAAGGGUUGUUUUUUUAUCCUUUUUAUUUACUAACCUAUAUUCAAAUUGGAAUGGAAUUGUGAAUUCAACCACAUUAUAGAAAAGGAAUAGGCUUACUGGAAAUCAUGUGAAGCAUUCUGGAACUGAUGGUUUAUUGGUCACUAUAGUAUCCUUUUUUCAAGUUUUUCCUAUUUCAACAUUGUACUUUUAGAAAUCUUACCGAUUUAUAACUUAUUCUUGCAUUUUGUGA